UACAGAGGUCCCAAGCGUUGUCCGGAUUUAUUGGGCGUAAAGAGCGUGUAGGCGGCCAGGUAGGUCCGCUGUGAAAACUCGAGGCUUAACCUCGAGCUGUCGGCGGAAACCAUCUGGCUAGAGUCCGGAAGAGGAGAAUGGAAUUCCCGGUGUAGCGGUGAAAUGCGCAGAUAUCGGGAAGAACACCCGUGGCGAAGGCGGUUCUCUGGGACGGUACUGACGCUGAGACGCGAAAGCGUGGGGAGCGAACAGG
rnacentral:rRNA from 1 species